AGUAAUGUCUGGGAAACUGCCUGAUGGAGGGGGAUAACUACUGGAAACGGUAGCUAAUACCGCAUAACGUCGCAAGGCCAAAGUGGGGGACCUUCGGGCCUCAUGCCAUCAGAUGUGCCCAGAUGGGAUUAGCUAGUAGGUGGGGUAACGGCUCACCUAGGCGACGAUCCCUAGCUGGUCUGAGAGGAUGACCAGCCACACUGGAACUGAGACACGGUCCAG
rnacentral:rRNA from 1 species